ACUCCUACGGGAGGCAGCAGUGGGGAAUAUUGCACAAUGGGGGAAACCCUGAUGCAGCGACGCAGCGUGCGGGAUGACGGCCUUCGGGUUGUAAACCGCUUUCAGCAGGGAAGAAGCGCAAGUGACGGUACCUGCAGAAGAAGUACCGGCUAACUACGUGCCAGCAGCCGCGGUAAUACGUAGGGUACGAGCGUUGUCCGGAAUUAUUGGGCGUAAAGAGCUCGUAGGUGGUUGGUCACGUCUGCUGUGGAAACGCAACGCUUAACGUUGCGCGUGCAGUGGGUACGGGGCUGACUAGAGUGCAGUAGGGGAGUCUGGAAUUCCUGGUGUAGCGGUGAAAUGCGCAGAUAUCAGGAGGAACACCGGUGGCGAAGGCGGGACUCUGGGCUGUAACUGACACUGAGGAGCGAAAGCAUGGGGAGCGAACAGGAUUAGAUACCCUGGUAGCACGAUGU
rnacentral:rRNA from 1 species